rnacentral:rRNA from 1 species
GAUGAACGCUGGCGGCGUGCCUAAUACAUGCAAGUCGAGCGGACCAAAGAGAGCUUGCUCUCUGAGGUUAGCGGCGGACGGGUGAGUAACACGUGGGUAACCUGCCUGUAAGACGGGGAUAACUUCGGGAAACCGAAGCUAAUACCGGAUGAUAAAGAGAAAUGCCUGUUUCUUUUUUGAAAGUAGGCCUUGUGCUGACGCUUGCAGAUGGGCUCGCGGCGCAUUAGCUAGUUGGUGAGGUAACGGCUCACCAAGGCGACGAGGCGUAGCCGACCUGAGAGGGUGAUCGGCCAGACUGGAACUGAGACACGGCCCAGACUCCUACGGGAGGCAGCAGUAGGGAAUCUUCGGCAAUGGACGAAAGUCUGACCGAGCAACGCCGCGUGAGCGAUGAAGGCCUUCGGGUCGUAAAGCUCUGUUGUCAGAGAAGAACAAGUACCGGAGUAACUGCCGGUACCUUGACGGUACCUGACCAGAAAGCCACGGCUAACUACGUGCCAGCCGCCGCAGUAA